rnacentral:lncRNA from 1 species
CGGAGCCGGCACGGGCCGAGGGGAGAGAGUCUGCGGCUGAGAUGCAUGGCAAGGGCUCUCCAGUUCCUGCGGUUCUGGACUGCAGAGGAGGCGGGCACAGGCCGUAAGAUGAGCGAGGACAUGGCCUGAGCUGGUAGGAGGGGUCCUGCUGGGAUCUCUGGCACAAACUUGGCUUAAACAAAAGUAUACACAUUCAUUUUGGAAACUGAACUGUUUAUUAUAGAAAUAAAAUAUUUUAAGAUUCUUUGAGGGGAAAGGGACAGGAGACCCUGGGAAGAGCAGGUGCCUCCCCUCCAGGCAGCCCACCAGGCCUGCUCCCUUUCUGCUGGCCUCUGAGGCCUCACGUGUGGGGACUGGCAUGAGGCCCACUGGGGAGGAGAGAAACCUUGGAGCUCGGAGGAAGGAAACUGCGAUGAAGCCUGAGUCCCUGUCCCGAAGGGGUCCUGACACACUGGGCCCCGCCCUGAGUCCAUGACUGGCCUCCCUUUGUGAGGAGAGCAGGCCCUGCAUCAUCAGGCCACCAGACUCCUUCCAGCCUCCUGCACAUUUCAGCUGGGCACUGCGGUAGCUGCAUGGAGACCCACAGAACCCACCCUCAGAACAGCGCCUGAUGAGAAGGCCGGGCCUGCAUUCCUCCACACCAAGCCAGGCGCCCGAUCUUUGAGAACCGCCACCCCAGCCCGUACCUCUGAGGCAAACCACACUGAGCAGCGGACUGCAGGCCUGCGAGCAAGGCUACAGGAGAAAUUUUAAACGCUGCAGAACUUCCACCAAGUAAGUCACGUGUGUCAUCAUGUGAUCAUC